rnacentral:misc_RNA from 1 species
GUAGGUGAACCUGCGGAAGGAUCAUUAUCGUUGGGCUUCGGCCCAUUCGAGAUAACACCCUUGCCUUUUUGAGUACCUUUUCGUUUCCUCGGCAGGCUCGCCUGCCAACGGGGACCCUUCAAAACGCUUUGUAAUACCUGUAAUCGUCUGAUAUAACAAGCAAAAAUCAAAACUUUCAACAACGGAUCUCUUGGUUCUGGCAUCGAUGAAGAACGCAGCAUCUGACUGACUCCGGGAUUUCAAAUCUCGU